rnacentral:rRNA from 1 species
UACGUAGGGGGCAAGCGUUGUCCGGAUUCAUUGGGCGUAAAGAGCGUGUAGGCGGCCAGGUAGGUCGGUUGUGAAAACUGGAGGCUCAACCUUCAGACGUCGACCGAAACCAUCUGGCUAGAGUCCGGGAGAGGAGAGUGGAAUUCCUGGUGUAGCGGUGAAAUGCGCAGAUAUCAGGAAGAACACCCGUGGCGAAGCGGCUCUCUGGAACGUACUGACGCGAUGUGCGAAAGCGUGGGGGGAGCA